GAAUGUGAGGGCAUCUGGCUUCGACACGUGUCACCCCACUGAUCCCCAGGGUUGAUUUGGGUUAUCUGGCUGGCUAGGCGGGUGUUCCCUUCCUUUCUUGGUGUUCCCUUCCCUCCUCAGUGCAUCCCUCCUGAAGCUGUGUGAUUGGUUGAAGAGGGCAACCACUCCUGAUGGAGGAGUGAUCCUGAUCAGGGGUGCAGAGUAGAACCUCCAAACAAGCUUUCAAGAAAGUCUUUUCCUGACCAUGUAAUUGGAGUGGUUCCCAUUUGAUGUGUUUAAAAUCACUUUUUAAAGUGGCAGUAGUUACUAUUU
rnacentral:snRNA from 1 species